rnacentral:ncRNA from 1 species
GGGCGCGGAGUAGGCAUGGGUAUCCGGCAUCCUCCGCGUCCUUCUGACAACGCCCGCGUAGGACACCCACUGGAGUUUUAGUGCGGUAUACUUGGGCUCGUUGAUCGGAUUACAGCGGAUCCAGGCAGCGGGAACAAGGAGUCCCACAUAACCCUCUCUCCCUUCCCCGAGGAGGGAGGGUACCUAUAAAAGGUUUCCCCAGCGCAACAAAAAAAGUGUCCCGAUCUUUUUGUUACAUCCUGUAUAUGUAUCAUGGAAAAUAAAUUAUUAAAUAGCCAAAUGCCGCGUCAUCUAAUUAGUGACGCGCAUGAAUGGAUUAACAAGAUUCCCACUGUCCCUAUCUACUGUCUAACGAAACCACUGCCAAGGGAACGGGCUUGGAAAAAUUAGCGGGGAAAAAAAAUGCUGUUGAGCUUGACUCUAGUCUGGCACUGUAAGGAGACAUGAGGGGUGUAGGAUAAGUGAAAGACGGCAACAUCGCCGGUGAAAUACCACUACUUUCAUUGUUUCCUUACUUACUCGGUUAGGCGAAGCGCAUGCCCAGAGGGUAUCGCGCCCCGGCGGUCACGGUGUUCUAGAGCCAAGCGUGUCAGAGUGGCGUGAGGCCUCGGCCGAUCACCGUUAAUACACCCGCGUAAUCCGAUUCGAGGACAUUGCCAGACGGGGAGUUUGACUGGGGCAGUGUCAGCUUCUCUGAUCGAAUGCCUCAUAUGUAGCAAACGCAUUAGAGUGCGCUGGAGAAGCGCACCCGUGGCCGUGCCGGCGACACCCUCAUCCGAGGGGCGGGGGCUGGCAUUGGCUGCGAGUGUGUUCCCCAGCCCUUUACUCUUAUCCCUCAUUUCCUCCCUCACCCUCUUUCCACUCUCCUCGGCGGCCUAUCCCUUUUCCGUUCGUCUCUUCCACACCUUGGUGUGGAAAAGAGGAAUAAGGCCCGUCGCAUACACCCACCGGGCCCUGUGUCUUUGAGGUCUUCGACCUGGCGGCGACGGAACCGGGGGUGACUACUAAUCACAUUUUAUUUCCAGGUUAAAACUCCGCCGAUUCCGUAGUCGCGUUCGGUCGUUCGUGCCGUCAUCGUUCGUCCGUCGUGGUCGCGGAUUAGUGCGCAAUAAAUAAGCGUUUCCUUCGAAUGGCGCUCGUUUUAAUACUAAAGUGAAAGGUAUCAUGCCGAAAAUAUGAGUGGUCGCGUGGUGUUCAAGAUCGAAUAUAUAUAUGUAUGUAUAUAAAGGCUAUAGCCGGAUAAGAUGGUAAAAAGUGCCCCCGCGCGAAAUGACUUAAAAGUAUUUACGCAAUACUUCUA